CAAAUCAUCCCAAAGCAUUAUUUCCAUUCACUUCCAGGUUGGUGAUUUGGUUGUCGGCAACAACUACAACAACCCAUCUGUGUUGCAGCAUGGCCAUUGGUGGGGGGUCGCUUGAUGACGCGUGUUGAAUUCACCAAUCAGCGUCGGAGAGUUUAUGCCGCUGUUUGGGCGCGCGAGCUUUCAACGGAGCCGCGAGUCGUAACACAGGAAGUUCAUUACUAUUAUUAGCCAGACAGAUUGAAAACCUAACUUUAGUUGUUUAUGAAAUAUACGCAGACGUUUUGUUCUGAUUAGCAACUGUUAACGAAACUGUACUCUUGUCAGACUAGUACGUUAUUAGGUAGCUGUGCCCGUCAUGCCAGUCGUUCGAUGCUUUGUUUGUUUUCUGGUAAAUGGUUGCUAUGUUAGCUAGCUAAUGUUAGCUAACCAGUCCGAUCAUUCAUUGCCCAGCAUCAUGUGCAUCUGCUGUUUUGUAACGUUUUACAUUAGGUUUUUUUUUUUGGUCCUCGCUGACAACAUUUAUCAUCGGAUAUCCACUUGUACUUCAAAUCAAAAGGUCUUCUCUCAGUAUUAGUACUGAUCAUCAUGUCCAUCGACUUUGAUAGUGCUGCUCUGCAAACUCAACAUGAGGAGGAGGAAUACGACCCAGAGGACUAUGCCCGAGAGCAAGAGGUACGAAAUACUCUGUCAUUCUCUCUCUAACACACAGACUGUUUUUUGUUGUUGAUAAACUUGCUUGUUGCUAGGGUAGUGGAUCAGAAAUGUAUCAUGUGCCUAUGAAACAGUGUUGCUAUUAUGUUGUCUGACAAUGGUUUCAGUGUGACCUCAAUUCAGUGUUUUUGCAGAUAGUAGACAUCAGCUCUUGUGUUGCCACUCCGUAAAGGCGGGGAUAGUAGUGAUAUUUAUAAUUAUCGUCCCAUUUCAAGGCUUCCUUGUCUAGCUAAGAUUAUUGAAUCCUUGGAGUAGGAAGCAGAUUAUUCAGUCAACCUUAUUUGAUCUGUUCUUGAUCAUGGUGAUCUUAUUUAUCGAAGUGUAGCUGCUACUCCUCUGAAACCUU
rnacentral:lncRNA from 1 species